GAUGAACGCUGGCGGCGUGCCUAAUACAUGCAAGUCGAGCGAACAGACGAGGAGCUUGCUCCUCUGACGUUAGCGGCGGACGGGUGAGUAACACGUGGAUAACCUACCUAUAAGACUGGGAUAACUUCGGGAAACCGGAGCUAAUACCGGAUAAUAUAUUGAACCGCAUGGUUCAAUAGUGAAAGACGGUUUUGCUGUCACUUAUAGAUGGAUCCGCGCCGCAUUAGCUAGUUGGUAAGGUAACGGCUUACCAAGGCAACGAUGCGUAGCCGACCUGAGAGGGUGAUCGGCCACACUGGAACUGAAACACGGUCCAGACUACUACGGGAGGCAGCAGUAGGGAAUCUUCCGCAAUGGGCGAAAGCCUGACGGAGCAACGCCGCGUGAGUGAUGAAGGUCUUCGGAUCGUAAAACUCUGUUAUUAGGGAAGAACAAAUGUGUAAGUAACUAUGCACGUCUUGACGGUACCUAAUCAGAAAGCCACGGCUAACUACGUG
rnacentral:rRNA from 1 species